UCAUACUCCUGUGAAUGUUGCUGCCUCUCAACAAAUGCCUUUGCCUUUAUGCUAUUCAGGGUCAAAUGAGGCAGUUGAGACUUCUGAAGGAGCACAACGGGAACAAAAUUGUCCCAGUCUAGCUACUUCUGAGUCAAAUCGGCCAAUCUUUAACAGCUUUGAUGGACAUCCUGCUGCAAUACUUUGUUCGAAGAAAUGGCUCUCUCUGGGAAAUAAAGAGGAGACGGACAUAUUCAGAAAGAUGGUGACAGAAGAUUAUUGAAUCUGAAAUCCCCUUUGCCUAUCAGUGACGAUGAAUGUGCAUUUCAUCUUGAACUAGGACAUCAAUUUCUACUGAACAAUGACAGCAAAAAUAUUAAAGUACACCAGCUUGAUAAAGUUUAUUCUGCCUAACUUGUUUCUUUACUAGCAAUCUGAUAAUAAUUUAUAGCAAAAGUAUGAAAUACUGAAAUGUAGGCAGUAUUCUUGAAAUGAUAUUACAUUUCUCGAUUAUGUCUUAGGCGGGUUUAAGCUCAGCCUAGACUUCAUGAUUGUCUACGAGAAAUCCCUCAAGAAAGGAGACCGCUUGAUUUUCAUACAUUUAUGUCUUAGGAAACUGAAUAGGCUUUAGGCUUGUACGAUGGGGAAAAUGAGUGGGCAAAGUAACAAUUUGGGGAGAUAUGGACUCAAAGAUCUUUAAUUUUGUCAGAGAGGGUCCUAUGAAGAAGGCUGUAAAUUUAAACUAAGUGGCCAAAUCCAAUGGCCAAUCAACCAACAACAUAAAUCCUGGAAAAUAGUCCAGUAAGAGACAGUUUCCAAGCCUGAUACCAUAGGAAGCAGCGAGGCAAGGAGUGCUAUUAAAAAAUAAAAACGCAAUCCUAGGUGUCUCA
rnacentral:lncRNA from 1 species